UCCUUCCGGGAUUGUGGGGUUCUUUUCAUCUGCAUGGAGUCCUCGUGUCCUUUGCGGCUGCUUUGAGGCUCUGUGACGUGCCAGACAGGGACAGGGACCCGUAGGAAGGACGCGGGGACCCCCUAGAAGCUGAGAUAUGGACCCAGUGGCCUUUGAGGAUGUGCUUAUGAAUUUCACAAAGGAGGAGUGGGCUUUGCUAGAUCCUUCACAGAAGAAACUACAGAGAUGUGAUGUGAGAAACUCUCAAGAACCUGGACUCUGCUGGAAUAAACUUGGGAGAGCAGAAUAUUGCAGAUCAGUACCAAAACCCCAAGAAACAGCUAAGGUAAUUUGUACU